rnacentral:sRNA from 1 species
AGUUAGUUGCGUGAGGGAUGUAGCGGAAAUCCUUUUUUAUUCUUGACAAAGAAUAAAAAAGAUUGGGAGCGAAAGCCCGACCCGAA